AAAAGGACUACCUUGUAUUCUGGUUAGAAUGCAGAUUCUGAUUCAGUUAUGUAGAGAAAGUGGAGUCUGGGUUUCUGCAUUUUUAAUAAGCUCCCAGCUAAUACCAGU
rnacentral:pre_miRNA from 1 species